rnacentral:rRNA from 1 species
GGGUUGUGAGGUUAAGCGACUAAGCGUACACGGUGGAUGCCCUGGCAGUCAGAGGCGAUGAAGGGCGUGCUAAUCUGCGAUAAGCGCCGGUAAGGUGAUAUGAACCGUUAUAACCGGCGAUACCCGAAUGGGGAAACCCAGUGUGAUUCGUCACACUAUCAUUAACUGAAUCCAUAGGUUAAUGAGGCGAACCGGGGGAACUGAAACAUCUAAGUACCCCGAGGAAAAGAAAUCAACCGAGAUUCCCCCAGUAGCGGCGAGCGAACGGGGAGGAGCCCAGAGCCUGAAUCAGCAUGUGUGUUAGUGGAAGCGUCUGGAAAGGCGCGCGAUACAGGGUGACAGCCCCGUACACAAAAGCGCAUGUGCUGUGAGCUCGAUGAGUAGGGCGGGACACGUGGUAUCCUGUCUGAAUAUGGGGGGACCAUCCUCCAAGGCUAAAUACUCCUGACUGACCGAUAGUGAACCAGUACCGUGAGGGAAAGGCGAAAAGAACCCCGGCGAGGGGAGUGAAAAAGAACCUGAAACCGUGUACGUACAAGCAGUGGGAGCACAGGUUUACCUGUGUGACUGCGUACCUUUUGUAUAAUGGGUCAGCGACUUAUAUUCUGUAGCAAGGUUAACCGUAUAGGGGAGCCGGAGGGAAACCGAGUCUUAACCGGGCGUUAAGUUGCAGGGUAUAGACCCGAAACCCGGUGAUCUAGCCAUGGGCAGGUUGAAGGUUGGGUAACACUAACUGGAGGACCGAACCGACUAAUGUUGAAAAAUUAGCGGAUGACCUGUGGCUGGGGGUGAAAGGCCAAUCAAACCGGGAGAUAGCUGGUUCUCCCCGAAAGCUAUUUAGGUAGCGCCUCGUGAAUUCAUCUCCGGGGGUAGAGCACUGUUUCGGCUAGGGGGCCAUCCCGGCUUACCAACCCGAUGCAAACUGCGAAUACCGGAGAAUGUUAUCACGGGAGACACACGGCGGGUGCUAACGUCCGUCGUGAAGAGGGAAACAACCCAGACCGCCAGCUAAGGUCCCAAAGUCAUGGUUAAGUGGGAAACGAUGUGGGAAGGCCCAGACAGCCAGGAUGUUGGCUUAGAAGCAGCCAUCAUUUAAAGAAAGCGUAAUAGCUCACUGGUCGAGUCGGCCUGCGCGGAAGAUGUAACGGGGCUAAACCAUGCACCGAAGCUGCGGCAGCGACGCUUAUGCGUUGUUGGGUAGGGGAGCGUUCUGUAAGCCUGUGAAGGUGGCCUGUGAGGGUUGCUGGAGGUAUCAGAAGUGCGAAUGCUGACAUAAGUAACGAUAAAGCGGGUGAAAAGCCCGCUCGCCGGAAGACCAAGGGUUCCUGUCCAACGUUAAUCGGGGCAGGGUGAGUCGACCCCUAAGGCGAGGCCGAAAGGCGUAGUCGAUGGGAAACGGGUUAAUAUUCCCGUACUUGGUGUUACUGCGAAGGGGGGACGGAGAAGGCUAUGUUGGCCGGGCGACGGUUGUCCCGGUUUAAGCGUGUAGGUGUGUGUUCCAGGUAAAUCCGGUUCACUUUAACACUGAGGCGUGACGACGAGGCACUACGGUGCUGAAGCAACAAAUGCCCUGCUUCCAGGAAAAGCCUCUAAGCAUCAGGUAACAUCAAAUCGUACCCCAAACCGACACAGGUGGUCAGGUAGAGAAUACCAAGGCGCUUGAGAGAACUCGGGUGAAGGAACUAGGCAAAAUGGUGCCGUAACUUCGGGAGAAGGCACGCUGACAUGUAGGUGAAGUGAUUUACUCAUGGAGCUGAAGUCAGUCGAAGAUACCAGCUGGCUGCAACUGUUUAUUAAAAACACAGCACUGUGCAAACACGAAAGUGGACGUAUACGGUGUGACGCCUGCCCGGUGCCGGAAGGUUAAUUGAUGGGGUCAGCGCAAGCGAAGCUCCUGAUCGAAGCCCCGGUAAACGGCGGCCGUAACUAUAACGGUCCUAAGGUAGCGAAAUUCCUUGUCGGGUAAGUUCCGACCUGCACGAAUGGCGUAAUGAUGGCCAGGCUGUCUCCACCCGAGACUCAGUGAAAUUGAACUCGCUGUGAAGAUGCAGUGUACCCGCGGCAAGACGGAAAGACCCCGUGAACCUUUACUAUAGCUUGACACUGAACAUUGAGCCUUGAUGUGUAGGAUAGGUGGGAGGCUUUGAAGUGUGGACGCCAGUCUGCAUGGAGCCGACCUUGAAAUACCACCCUUUAAUGUUUGAUGUUCUAACGUGGACCCGUUACCCGGGUUGCGGACAGUGUCUGGUGGGUAGUUUGACUGGGGCGGUCUCCUCCUAAAGAGUAACGGAGGAGCACGAAGGUUGGCUAAUCCUGGUCGGACAUCAGGAGGUUAGUGCAAUGGCAUAAGCCAGCUUGACUGCGAGCGUGACGGCGCGAGCAGGUGCGAAAGCAGGUCAUAGUGAUCCGGUGGUUCUGAAUGGAAGGGCCAUCGCUCAACGGAUAAAAGGUACUCCGGGGAUAACAGGCUGAUACCGCCCAAGAGUUCAUAUCGACGGCGGUGUUUGGCACCUCGAUGUCGGCUCAUCACAUCCUGGGGCUGAAGUAGGUCCCAAGGGUAUGGCUGUUCGCCAUUUAAAGUGGUACGCGAGCUGGGUUUAGAACGUCGUGAGACAGUUCGGUCCCUAUCUGCCGUGGGCGCUGGAGAACUGAGGGGGGCUGCUCCUAGUACGAGAGGACCGGAGUGGACGCAUCACUGGUGUUCGGGUUGUCAUGCCAAUGGCACUGCCCGGUAGCUAAAUGCGGAAGAGAUAAGUGCUGAAAGCAUCUAAGCACGAAACUUGCCCCGAGAUGAGUUCUCCCUGAGACUUAGAGUCUCCUGAAGGAACGUUGAAGACGACGACGUUGAUAGGCCGGGUGUGUAAGCGCAGCGAUGCGUUGAGCUAACCGGUACUAAUGAACCGUGAGGCUUAACCUUACAACGCCGAAG